rnacentral:rRNA from 1 species
AUUGAACGCUGGCGGCAUGCCUUACACAUGCAAGUCGAACGGUAACAGGGAGCUUGCUCCGCUGACGAGUGGCGAACGGGUGAGUAAUGUAUCGGAACGUACCUUUUAGUGGGGGAUAACGUAGCGAAAGUUACGCUAAUACCGCAUAUUCUCUGAGGAGGAAAGCAGGGGACCUUCGGGCCUUGCGCUAAUAGAGCGGCUGAUAUCAGAUUAGCUAGUUGGUGAGGUAAAGGCUCACCAAGGCGACGAUCUGUAGCGGGUCUGAGAGGAUGAUCCGCCACAGUGGAACGGGGACACGGUCCAGACUCCUACGGGAGGCAGCAGUGGGGAAUUUUGGACAAUGGGGGCAACCCUGAUCCAGCCAUGCCGCGUGAGUGAAGAAGGCCUUCGGGUUGUAAAGCUCUUUCGGCCGGGAAAAAAUCGCAUGGGCUAAUACCCUGUGUGGAUGAUGGUACCGGAAUAAGAAGCACCGGCUAACUACGUGCCAGCCGCCGCCGUAA